rnacentral:rRNA from 1 species
GUCUAUGGCCAUACCACCCUGAACAUGCCCGAUCUCAUCUGAUCUCGGAAGCUAAGCAGGCUCGGGCAUGGUUAGUACUUGAUGGGAGAGAGAUGAAGCAAUGGAGA